GUUUUUUUUAGAAAACCAAACGCUGCCUCCUGGUUUCGGAGAAUGAGUACGAGUCUUAUGGUGGCAGAGAAAAUCUGGAACGAUAUUGAGUCAACUCGUUCAGUGACGGAUGACCAGCUAUCGAUAUUGCAUUUUCUAUUUGGAAAAAAUUUCGAGCGAGCAUCGCGGGUAGUUGAUCAAAGAGGAGUCAAGCGAAUCUGCGGUCAACCUAGUGGACGUUCCGUUUUCCAGGUUGUUGGAGAGUCUAAGAAGAAAGAGGAGUAUUUGUGCUUCCCGGAACAUUAUUGCGCUUGUUAUUCUUUCUUCUACGACGUCGUGAACAGAGGGGAGCAACUAUGUUGUAAGCAUCAACUAGCUGCGAGACUUGCCAAGUCUUUGGGAGCUUGCAUUGAAGUUAUGGUGUCCGAUGAAGAGCUCGCGGUGAUGCUCUCCCAACUUUGAUGGUUUGCACUCUCUGGAUUUUGUAUUUCAUACUGGAAAGAUGAAGUGAUGUGCAACGCGUAAAUGAGCUAGCUGCAUUUCUAUAUAUGUCACACUUGAAUGAUCACUACAGCACCUAUAGAUGCAUGUAUGAAUUAUAAUUUGAACAGAAUACGAGAAUGCAUAUGCAGUUUGUGAGAGCACUGCUUCAGUUCUCUCAGAACAUGUAGUACCAUUGAAUUAAUCUAUUGCUAAGCACAAGUAGCACUCAGAUAUGAUGCAUUCAGGAGGAUCAGAUGCUUGGAAUAUGCAAACAAUUGCCUUUGCCUUAAACCAAUGGAACAGCAAAUGCACUCAAGGUAACCUUCUGUAACUAUGUUUCAGUCAUCAGCUUCCAAUACCAUGCUUAAAUUAAUAGCACUGCAUGAUGAAUUGUAUUAGUAAACUCUAUUAGUUCAGGCAAAAUGCAGCUUUUCCUCUUUCCUUCA